rnacentral:rRNA from 1 species
AUCAUUACAGAGUUCCUGCCCUCACGGGUAGAAACCCCACCCUUGUGUAUAUUAUAUUGUUGCUUUAGCAGGUCGCCCUCUGGGCGUCGGCCUCGGCUGACUGUGCCUGCUAGAGGACCCUAAAUUUUGAAAUACAGUGUCGUCUGAGUACUAUUUAAUAGUUAAAACUUUCAACAACGGAUCUCUUGGUUCUGGCAUCGAUGAAGAACGCAGCGAAAUGCGAUAAGUAAUGUGAAUUGCAGAAUUCAGUGAAUCAUCGAAUCUUUGAACGCACAUUGCGCCCCUUGGUAUUCCGGGGGGCAUGCCUGUUCGAGCGUCAUUUAGACCAACUCCCGCUCCGGCGGGGUCUUGGGCUGCGCCUUUGGGCGGGCCUUAAAACCAGUGGCGGUGCCCUAAGGCUCUACGCGUAGUAAUUCUUCUCGCGAUAGGGUCCUUGCGGUGUCUUGCCAGCAACCCCCAACUCUCUAGGGUUGACCUCGGAUCAGGUAGGGAUACCCGCUGAACUUAAGCAUAUCAA